AUGGAAUUUAAAGUCAAGGCGGCUGUUGGCUCUGUUGCACCUCCUGAACCUGGCUCAACUUUUCGGUGCCGGCCGAUUCCAGAAGGAUAUGCUAGGGUGAUGGUGGAUGAAAUCACAAAAGGAUUUGAGGACCUCCAGCUUGACCACCCUACGGGUGACGGGGAGACUCGGCUGGGUUCUUAUCUGAAGACUCCAUGCCUAUGGCGGAAGGAGCUCAUCAACCUUCCGAACUGGACGCCUCCGCCUCCUCCUUCUCCGGCGAGUCAGGGCACUCUGCCUCCUCCACUGCCUCCUCCUCCGGCGAGUGAUCAGGGCACUCAGCCUCCUUCUCCGGCGCGUGGCGGCACUCCACCUCCUUCUUCGCCUGCGCCGGCGCGCCCGAGCAGCCACCAGCCUCCUCCUUCUCCGCCUCGCCAGCAAGGGUGGAAGAGACCCGCCGCCGCCCCGGCUGCUCCAGCGCGUCGUAGUCCUUCUCCUCCGCCUCGUAAGCAAGCACGAAAGAAAACAGCCGCAGCCGCUCCGUCUGCUUCAGCGUCUAGCAGUACAGCCAGAGGCGGGAGGCAAUACAAAUUUGGUCCACCUCUCAAGCCUCUAGAGAAGUUACCAUACGAGAGGACCGUGGAAGAAAACGCGAAGAUCGUGGAAAAAGAAGUGAAGGACUUCUUUGAAGGGAUGAAAGCAAAUAUACAUCCAUCUCCGGAGGAGAAGGUAGACCGGGUGAAAGCAAAGCGCACUAUCGAUGCCCUGAGGAAACCACCAAAGUCUCCGCUGAAAAACAACUAUGAGCGCAUUACUGCAAAGGUAUAUAUAAAAGCAGAGCGGUCGGGAAAUACUAUCAGUGAUCGAAGGUUAGCAGAACGACGAGUUGAGAAAAAAAUUGUCCAGCUCGGCGAACAAGAGGACCAAUCGUGCCCCCCGCUCAAGGUGUCUAGCGAUAUCGUCGCUAAUGAUCCGAGGAUGGUGCCCGGUUAUAGCAAUCUUGAAGAUUACCUGCCCGACGAUGUACAUUAUAAUUUCUUGGAGGUGGAAGAACACCAAUACCAUUACGGGAAGCCUCUUGUCAAAGAUGAAAAUCCUCUAACAACGAUGAUGCGAAGAUUCCAUGAUUGGUACAUGAAAACCUACAGAGAGUCUGGGGGGACGAAUACUUUGUAUCUGAGAGUUAAAGAGGAGCACGACCUCGUUGGAAUUGAUUUGUUAACUGUUCCAUUUGAGGAGCUCUUCCAGUGGUUCAAUCAAAAGGCCCUCGAUAAAUUAAUGGUCACUUGCUACUGUCUGUAA
rnacentral:rRNA from 1 species